UGAGUGUGAUGCCACACAUGAACAAUACGCCCUCCAAUGUUGGGUGGAACUCGGCGCCUCUGCUCUCUCCCAAGUACUUUAUGAAGGCACUUCAUUAUCUAUCAUAAAGUUUCUUAAGUAUGUUGUGCCUUGCUCCUGUGCUCCUGACAGGAAGAAUAGAGUCAGGGCCAUAGAAGGGGGAACUCCCUCCAAGAGCUCAGUUUAAAUUUUUCUCAGUCUUUUGAACUUAAGCAUUUGUGUUCCCGGGACAUAGAAGAGUAGAUUUUGAGGCUAGAAAAGAGACAUGUGGCCCAAGCAAGUGUGGUAGAGCAAUGGGCUCGCUGUGAAAUAAAUUUGGGUGUGUUCCUCACAGAUUUAUGCCCCCUAUACAAAGGGAGGCAGUGCUAUCCAGAGAUGUUUUGCUUCCUGAAAUGGAGGCCAAUUUCAUGCUACCACUACUGCUCCCCUUCCUUACUAGGGCCAAACUUGCAAAAGUCUUCCAGCAUCCUUAGAACACCACCGAUUUCUAACUUCAUCAAUCCAUCAUCAUGGAUGAGGAAAACAAUAUACAUCAAUCACACACUGGGGAGCAGACAGUCCUGUUUGAUAGGCUUGCCUACUUAUUUCUUUACCUAAGAUAAUAUCUACAGCAUCCAUGUGUCUGACAGAAAUGGCUUGAAGCUAUGAUGCAGUUGAUCAAAAAGAAAAUAAAAGUGAAAUGCAUGUCUCUACUUCCCCACAACCCAAACUUUUGCUGAGGUUAAGUGGAAACAGUGAGACGGGGUCAUUCAAUCAAUCCACCAGUCAAUCACACUGUGGGAUAUACUGCAGAGAGCAGCUUCCUCGAGACGUGAUGGAUGCAAUAUAUACCUGACUCAGCAGCUACCAAGAUUGCAGCAGAUCACUGUAAUUUGAAACUAUGCGCACACAAUUCAUGCUUCGGUUUAAAGGAAAAGAACAACACAUCUGCUGCUGAACCAGAUCUUGGGAUGGAAAUGAACACAAUCAAAGUCAGAACCUCUAACAGCAGUCAGCCAUCUUGACACAAACAACAACCAGCGGUUCUUCUGUCCCAUGCAGCCUCAGGAAGGAGACCAUGAUGUGCAUAAUAAUUCUGCCUUAUGUUUGGACAAAGGGUAAUAAAUUUUGAUGUAGCUCAGCUUACAGGAAGUCUAUCGUCAGAGUCAGGAAGACACAACAAAGAUUUAACAGAGCACUAACCUUUAUGCCAGUUAUGAAGCAGCCUAGCUGUGUUGACUAAGAGAAUGAACCUGGCACACCCAGAGAGUCAGAGACAUGCAUCUUGGAUGCGAGUUCUGGAAGACCUAAUUCCUGUUUUGCAAGCCUUUUUUCACCUGGCCUGGAAGAGCAGGGGCCCCGAUUGCAGCUACAAAGCUGAGGCUAUUGGGUUGGGGGAUUGUUUAAGAGGG